UACGUAGGGGGCGAGCGUUGUCCGAAGUUACUGGGCGUAAAGCGCGCGUAGGCGGGAAAUUAAGUGAGAAGUGAAAGGCUGGGGCUCAACCUCAUGCAGUGCUUCUCAUACUGGUUUUCUUCAGGGCGGUAGAGAAAAGUGGAAUGGCUGGUGUAGCGGUGAAAUGCGUAGAUAUCAGUCGGAACACCGGUGGCGAAGGCGGCUUUUUGGGCCGUUCCUGACGCUGAGGCGCGAAAGCCAGGGGAGCGAACGGG
rnacentral:rRNA from 1 species